rnacentral:lncRNA from 1 species
UUAUGUUAUACUUAAUGAAAGUUUAAAUAAACUUUAAGUGUUAGUGAAUCUAUCGUUUUGAUGGGAUACGAAUUCUAUGAAAUUAAUUUUAACGAUCCAACCAUUAAACUUGUUUGUAUAUGCUUCGAGAUUGCAUAUGCCAAAAAUAAAAAAAAACAAACAUUCAGAGAUCAAGAAAUGAGACAAAACUUUUCGACGGUUAUAAAACAAAAAAUCACGAUUUAACGGUUAUUUUAACUCCGAUUUUGAUGAUUUUUUACAACUAUACUCCUUGACUCUAUACGAAUACAAUGAAUGAAUUCGAUCGACAAUUUAAAAUAUUUACACAAGUGGAUACCACAAAAUCUUAUGUUAUACUUAAUGAAAGUAUAAAUAAAGUCUAAGUGUUAGUGAAUCUAUCGUUUUGAUGGGAUACGAAUUCUAUCAAACUAAUUUUAACGAUCCAACCGUCAAACUUGUUUUAUAUGCUUCGAGAUCGCAUACGCCAAAAAUCACAACAAACAAACAUUCAGAGAUCAAGAAAUGAGACAAAAAAAUUCGACUGUUAUAAAACAAAAAAUCACAAUUUAACGGUUAUUUUAACUCCGAUUUUGAUGAUUUUUUUACAACGACACUCCUUGACCCUAUACAAAU